rnacentral:rRNA from 1 species
CAGCAGCCGCGGUAAUACAGAGGGUGCGAGCGUUAAUCGGAUUUACUGGGCGUAAAGCUUGCGUAGGCGGCUUCUUAAGUCGGAUGUGAAAUCCCUGAGCUUAACUUAGGAAUUGCAUUCGAUACUGGGAAGCUAGAGUAUGGGAGAGGAUGGUAGAAUUCCAGGUGUAGCGGUGAAAUGCGUAGAGAUCUGGAGGAAUACCGAUGGCGAAGGCAGCCAUCUGGCCUAAUACUGACGCUGAGGUACGAAAGCAUGGGGAGCAAACAGGAUUAGAUACCCCAGUAGUCCCUGUCUCUUAUAC